CCUACGGGAGGCAGCAGUAGGGAAUAUUGGGCAAUGGAGGCAACUCUGACCCAGCCAUGCCGCGUGCAGGAAGAAGGCGUUAUGCGUUGUAAACUGCUUUUAUAUAGGAAGAAAUAGACCUUGCGAGGUAAGUUGACGGUACUAUAUGAAUAAGCACCGGCUAACUCCGUGCCAGCAGCCGCGGUAAUACGGAGGGUGCAAGCGUUGUCCGGAUUUAUUGGGUUUAAAGGGUGCGUAGGCGGUUUAUUAAGUCAGUGGUGAAAGACGGUCGCUCAACGAUUGCAGUGCCAUUGAUACUGGUAGACUUGAGUGGGAUUGAGGUAGCUGGAAUGGAUAGUGUAGCGGUGAAAUGCAUAGAUAUUAUCCAGAACACCAAUUGCGUAGGCAAGUUACUAAGUCUCAACUGACGCUGAGGCACGAAAGUGUGGGUAUCAAACAGGAUUAGAUACCCUGGUAGUCCACACUGUAAACGAUGAUAACUAACUGUUGGCUUUCGGGUCAGUGGUACAGAGAAAUCGUUAAGUUAUCCACCUGGGGAGUACGCCGGCAACGGUGAAACUCAAAUGAAUUGACCGG
rnacentral:rRNA from 1 species